GGCGGCGCGGUUUACGAAGGCCUGGGGCUGAGCGGCAAGCUUUCAGCCGGAGAGGAGGGGGUGGUGGAGGAGCCGAGAGGCACCUUCCCAGACUGGUCCGAAUGCUGCGCGUCCUGACCAGCGCCCUGCGCCUUCCGAGCCCCCGGAGGCCCCUUGAGGCCCGUGGCUGCGCCGCCAAUCUCGCGGCCGCAAACCGCGAGAUCCAAGUGUGCGCUCUGGCGGGUCCAGACCAAGGAAUCACUGAGAUUUUGAUGAACAGACCAAGCGCCCGCAAUGCCCUGGGGAACGUCUUCGUUAGUGAGCUGCUGGAAGCUCUGGCCCAGCUGCGGGAGGACCGGCAAGUGCGUGUCCUGAUUUUCAGAAGUGGAGUGAAGGGUGUAUUCUGUGCAGGUGCAGACCUGAAGGAGCGGGAGCAGAUGAGUGAGGCGGAGGUGGGGGUCUUUGUCCAGCGGCUCCGAGGCCUGAUGAAUGAGAUUGCAGCCUUCCCUGCGCCCACCAUUGCAGCUAUGGAUGGGUUUGCCUUAGGUGGAGGCCUGGAACUCGCCCUGGCCUGUGACCUCCGAGUGGCAGCUUCCUCAGCUGUCAUGGGGCUGAUUGAGACCACCCGAGGACUCCUCCCAGGAGCAGGAGGGACUCAGAGGCUGCCUCGAUGCCUGGGGGUGGCCCUGGCGAAGGAGCUCAUCUUCACAGGCCGACGACUGAGCGGGUCACAGGCCCAGGCUCUGGGGCUGGUGAACCAUGCUGUGGCCCAGAAUGAGGAGGGCAACGCCGCCUACCACCGGGCACGAGCACUGGCCCAGGAGAUCCUGCCCCAGGCCCCCACUGCUGUGCGGCUGGGCAAAGUAGCCAUUGACCGAGGAACAGAGGUGAGAGGGUUUUGGGUUGGAACCUGGGUCCCACUAAAGUCAGUGGGGCGGCUGGGAGGUGGUGCUUUCAUGGCAAACAGAUGGACAGCACAGCGGGAAAGAGCUCGGGAACUGGACUCUUCUAACAGACUUUGAGUCUGACCUCUCUCUUUGUGCCUUGCUUUUACCUACCUACAAAAUGAGGUUUGGCCAGGUGAUAUUCCAAAUGACAUUUUAUCCUCAUCUCUCUCCCUUGGAGAGAGAAGGAAAUUGAGGUUCAGAAAGGGUAAGACUUAUCCAGGGUCCCAGAACAAGGGAGUAACAAGAAUCCAGGUCUGCGUGGCUCCCAGUCCAUGUUCUCGGGUUUGUGUUGGUCAGUAAUGUGGCCUCGUGGACCGGGCUCAGGUGUGGGGCCUUGGCUGCAGCUAACCCAUCCUAGACAUCAGCUUAUUCAUUCAUUCAUCACACACUGAACCUAGACCUGAACUGGGACACAGAAAUGAGUCAAAUAUGGUCACUGCCCCCAAGGUGGGGAGGGGGACGGACACAAAUCACUAAUAAAGGGUCAAGGGUACCAAGCAGACACCCUGGAGAGGUGAGAGCUGCACUGUCCAUGUGGCUACUGGCUACGGUAUUGGACAGUGCUGAGUUGGAGAAUGUUUUCUAGAACUGGGGCUUAGGGUGGAUGAGAAUUCCAAAAAAUAGGGACAAGUGUGAGGAAAAACACAGAGGUGUAUAAAUAAGCAACUUGACAGAACAGGACGAAGGGACGAGUGAGACAACAUAGCAUGGAGGUUAGGGGCAUAGGCUCUGGUGCUGGACCAUCUGGGUUCAAAGACCUGCUUUUCCACAUACUGUUGUGCCCUUAGACAAAUCAUUCCACCUUUCUAUGCCUCAGAUUCUUCAGCUGUACAGUAGGGAAAAUAACCCCUGUUGGGAAAGGUACUUCUCUUAAAAUAGUGCUUGUAAGUGGUAGUAAUAGCAAGUACUGUGCAGUAUAGGCUGGGAAGUUGCCAGGGGCCAAGUCAUAAAGGCCUUAGUCCUCAGGGCAAUGGGAAGCCAGUACAGUUCACUAAUAGGGGUGACAGGAGGCAUGGGGAGGCAGCCGGACGGCAAGGAGGGAACACUGGCUGUGCAAGCACAGCUCAGGCACACCCUCCUCAGCUCUACAGGCUAUGUGUCAUCCUCCCCGCUGUUCUCACAGCCCGCAUUCGUCCCAGCACUGUUUCACCACUGUUAUGAAUGGUAUUCCCUCUCCAGGUAGGGGAUUCCUUAUCAUCUCAUCUCUCUUCAUAUGGGCUGGCAUACAGUAAGCCUCAAUAAUUCUUUGCUGGAAGAAUCCAUAAUCAGUAAGAAGUGGUGUAGGAAGUAGGACUAGCUGGCGCCCCGUGCUGAUGGGGAUGGGCAAGGUCAGGGUGAUCCACGCACAACUUCUUUCUUGCAGGUGGACAUUGCAUCAGGGAUGGCCAUUGAAGGGAUAUGCUAUGCCCAGAACAUCCCGACCCGGGAUCGGCUGGAAGGCAUGGCUGCCUUCAGGGAGAAGCGGCCCCCUAGAUUUGUUGGCGAGUGACUUCCCUUGAACCUUACGCAUGGGAGAUGCACACCUUACAGGGAAGGAUCCGGAAGGAAAACGUGCAGCGCGCCUGCCCUCCUCAUUUCACCUCUAGGCUUCAGUUUCCUCACAAGAACGAUGAUCGAUAUAGAGUGACUGGCACGGUGCCUGGCACGAAGGUGCUGACUAUGCCACCUACCGCUACCUUCAUCAUUCCUCACCCAGGCUAGACAAUCACUGGCGUCGGGUUGGCUUUGGAGAAUACCUGUCUCUCCCUAAUAGAACGAUCAACUAAGGACAAAACAGACCCCUCUGGGCCUUUAUAUCGCUGGCACUCAAGCCUGACCUCUGCCUCUCAGUUAUUAGGUGCUCACCAGAGAUGAGAGGAGGUUGUAAGAACCACCCUCAACUGCCCUGUUUCUUCCUCUGUACAACAGAGAUAAUAAGGAAACCCUGGCAGUGGUUGAAUAGGCCCAGCUCUCUGCCAGUUACUCACUGUGUGCCUCAGCCUCCUCAUCUAUAAUGAAACUGUUGGGAGGACUAAACAAAUAAUAAAACGCCUGAUGUUCAAUAAACGUGAGUUAUUAUGCAUGUACAGUGUUCUUCUAAGAACCAGAUGAAAUCACUGCUGUGAAAACCUUUUGUAAACUGUAACGUGGCAGGCAAAUCUUUGAUGGAGCAUUAAAUAGCUUUCAGGAGUGCUGAGAAGGGAACGAUUAACUCUGAUGGACAACACGGAAGGUCAGGAAAUGGGCAGGUAACACUGGAGUUGAAAGCGGAAGGAUCAAUAGGCAUUUGAGGCGAAAAACAGGAAGCCUGAGGGGAACAGCACGAGCAAAAGUGAGCAAGAUGACGACACUGAGAAAUAAAGGUUGGUGAUAUGCACAUGUGCACACUAGUCUCAGGAGCCCUCCUUCUGUGCCCCAAGGCAGGGGAAGAGACAGCCACGUGGUCAUUCUUUAACUGACCUGAGCUUUCUGCGCCUACGCCUGGCCAGACUCAGAAGUCACUAAGCCACGGGCACGGACACAUACCAAUAACACUGUUGACUUGCUGCUAAAUACUAAUGUGCCCCAAAGUUGUGCUCAUUUCCUGAAAGGGAGAGUAACACAGAAGAGCCCAAGUCUUCGAAUCAGCAGCAACCGCAUGAGCAGCAUCUAUCUACUCAGGAAAGUAACCUGAACUUCUUCUUUCUCAUCUGUUAAAUAGGGAGGAUAAAACUCAACUAUCACAGAGGAUUGUUGUGAAUGAGACAAAACUUGGAGAGGUGCCCAGUGUAGAACUGGACCUCAGCAGGCACUAUUUCCCACCCACCCUCCUCCCAUUAGCCUAAGCUAGUAUCUGGAACAGCAUGUUCCAACGCACGGAACUCAGGUCAGGAAAGUCAGACAGCCUUUUGAAUCAUGCAAAAGAGUGAAUGAGAGAAAAUACUGUGUAGUUGCAGGACUGUAGAAGGAAGCAGAUUACAAAUUCCUCUUAUCCAGUCACCAGUGAGCAAUAGUUUGAAAAAUGGUUUAGAAUAAGAAUAAGCCUCAUCUGAUUCCAAACAAAGGUAUACAGCAUUCCAGUUAAGAGUCUGGCCAGCUAACAGCACAAAAAUCUAGUCCUAAAAUAAGCUACUAAUUCAGAAAGGAAUUUAUUUCUUUGAAAAACUUAAACAGAUGAAUGGUAAAACAUGUUUUGUUAGUUGUCAAUAAUAAGGUGAGGAAGGACUUCAUACUCUAUUCCACAGAGUGGGUUUGCAGAGGACACAAACCAAAGCUUCUGAUAGUUUAUACUGUGGAUGAGGCUGGUUCUCAGAGAAGCUCACUAUUUUCCUCAUCUCCAUAUUAGGUAAGAGCACCUCUUCACACGUCUGGCACAGCCCUUCCUUUUCCUCUCAGUUUUGGUCACAGUCAUAACUCAAAUUAAAAAUUUGAGGGAUUGAGGGAUUGAGAUUUAUAAUCCCCAUAUAAUCUUUCAUCUGAACACUAUUCUCAGUCCUAACUCGGACCAUGCCCCACCAGCACACCCAAUCACAUACAAUGUUACGCUUACUCAGUCUAACGUGUAACGCUGGAGGAAGGAAGGUCAAAGGUAGACUAUCCAAAAUCAUAAACAUAUAUUUCUCUUCCCUCCACCCAACGAGUGGAAGGUACUCUGGUAUCUAUUAAAAAUAAUUUUUUUUCCUCCCCCCAAUAGAAGUUCUGCCUUCCAAACAAUACAUUUAUACGUGUAUGUUUCCUAGAACUUUUUCAUGUACUUCUUUUCCAGUGGCUUCAUAUAACCAGGAAUAACAGCUUAGGAGAUUCUUUCAAACAUGAAAUUUAAUAAUAAAUAUCAAAGUUUCCCCGUAAGUCUUUCUUUUUCCUUUCCUCUGACGAACACUCAGAGUUAAGAAAUUGGUCGGGGCUAGAGAAAAGUAACUGGCAUAGCUGUUCCAACA